AAUGGAGAUAAGGAUGGAGGGGUUGGAGUGGGGUCGGUUUUUAUCACAACACAUGCAAAACGGGUGAGGGGCAAUGUUGUAAUUUUAUUUUUUUUUUUUGAGAGAGAGAUAGCACGCUACCCGCGUCGUUUAUUUCAUUCAGAAAUAAACUUGGCUGGAAAUGUGAAUCAACUAGGAUUCGAACUUGGAAACUCGGGUACCGACCACCAAAUCUUUUGCCACUUGCUCUAAGAAUCGGUAAUGUUGUAAAAAUAUUGAAUAAGAAAUUUCAAUAAUUUAAGAGACUAAUUGAUGUGUUAAAAUUUUAUAUGGUAAAUGUAUU
rnacentral:lncRNA from 1 species